rnacentral:tRNA from 2 species
GGGGCUGUAGCUCAGUGGUAGAGCAUCUGCUCAGCGUGAAGGAGGUCAAGGGUUCCAGCCCCAGCCCCG